CCUACGGGCGGCAGCAGUGGGGAAUAUUGGACAAUGGGGGCAACCCUGAUCCAGCCAUGCCGCGUGUGUGAAGAAGGCCCUCGGGUUGUAAAGCACUUUCAGUGAGGAAGAACGCCUGGUGGUUAAUACCCAUCAGGAAAGACAUCACUCACAGAAGAAGCACCGGCUAACUCCGUACCAGCAGCCGCGGUAAUACGGAGGGUGCGAGCGUUAAUCGGAAUUACUGGGCGUAAAGCGCGCGUAGGUGGCUUGAUAAGCCGGUUGUGAAAGCCCCGGGCUCAACCUGGGAACGGCAUCCGGAACUGUCAAGCUAGAGUGCAGGAGAGGAAGGUAGAAUUCCCGGUGUAGCGGUGAAAUGCGUAGAGAUCGGGAGGAAUACCAGUGGCGAAGGCGGCCUUCUGGACUGACACUGACACUGAGGUGCGAAAGCGUGGGUAGCAAACAGGAUUAGAUACCCUUGUAGUC
rnacentral:rRNA from 1 species